rnacentral:rRNA from 1 species
UUCCGGUUGAUCCUGCCGGAGGCCAUUGCUAUCGGAGUUCGAUUUAGCCAUGCUAGUCGCACGGGUUUGGACCCGUGGCGAAUAGCUCAGUAACACGUGGCCAAACUACCCUAUGGACCGGAAUAACCUCGGGAAACUGAGGCUAAUUCCGGAUACCGCUCCUGCACUGGGAUGUGCGGAGCUCGAAACGCUACGGCGCCAUAGGAUGUGGCUGCGGCCGAUUAGGUAGACGGUGGGGUAACGGCCCACCGUGCCCAUAAUCGGUACGGGUUGUGAGAGCAAGAGCCCGGAGACGGUAUCUGAGAUAAGAUACCGGGCCCUACGGGGCGCAGCAGGCGCGAAACCUUUACACUGCACGACAGUGCGAUAAGGGAACUCCGAGUGCGAGGGCAUAGAGCCCUCGCUUUUGUACACCGUAAGGUGGUGUACGAAUAAGGGCUGGGCAAGACCGGUGCCAGCCGCCGCGGUAAUACCGGCAGCCCGAGUAAUGGCCGAUCUUAUUGGGCCUAAAGCGUCCGUAGCUGGCCGGACAAGUCCGUUGGGAAAUCCGCGCGCCUAACGCGCGGGCGUCCAGCGGAAACUGUCCGGCUUGGGGCCGGAAGACCCGAGGGGUACGUCCGGGGUAGGAGUGAAAUCCCGUAAUCUCGGACGGACCGCCUGUGGCGAAAGCGCCUCGGGAAGACGGACCCGACAGUGAGGGACGAAAGCCAGGGUCUCGAACCGGAUUAGAUACCCGGGUAGUCCUGGCUGUAAACGAUGUCCGCUAGGUGUGGCGCAGGCUACGAGCCUGCGCUGUGCCGUAGGGAAGCCGUGAAGCGGACCGCCUGGGAAGUACGUCUGCAAGGAUGAAACUUAAAGGAAUUGGCGGGGGAGCACUACAACCGGAGGAGCCUGCGGUUUAAUUGGACUCAACGCCGGA